GUAGAAAACAACAUCGUGGCUUGCACAUGGAGUGUCCUUCCAGCAGCUCUGUGAAAUUACAACCACUGCUCUUUGCUGUGUUGGAGGUGGGCCACCCAGUGCAGAAGAAACCCUCCUCCUAGCUGCCUUCAGAAGAGAUCCUCCCCCUGGCUGCCUUUGGAUCAAGACAGAAUUCUCAGCUCCUCCAGCAACAAGUCUGCCUGCAUGAUGCCAUGCUUCCUGACAUGACCAUAAAUGGACUGAACCUCCGAAAAUGUAAGCCAGUUCCAAGUAAACGCUUGCCUUUAGAAGAGUUGGUUUGGUCAUGGCAUCUCUUCACAGCAAUAAAACCCAAAUGAAGACCGUGGUCUCUGUCUCCUGUUCACCCUGCACUUCCUCCUGCUCAGAGUUGGUGUGGAUGGAUGGAUGACCAGGUCUUCCCCAUGGACAUCUGGGGCUAUUGCCUUUGCUCUCUCCAGAGAUGGUUGAGAGGAUAUGGGAGCUUGGAAGCUUGAAAGAUGGUGGACAGCAAUCGACUGGCAUGCAGGCGUCUCACAGCUCUUCUCAACCCUUCUCCAUCUCCCUAUCUUCUCUUUCCCUUUUCUUUCUCUCUUUCUCUUGUCCCCUCCUUCUUCCCUUCUUCCCCCCUCUCUCUUUCUUUAGAGUUUCACUAUGUAGCCCAGGCUGGCCUGAAUUGGUGACCAAGCCUCCAUAGUCUUGGCUGUCCUUUGGUUAGUCUGUUUCCUUGUCCCUUUGUCUCAUAGUCUCUGACAUCCUGUCUUCUCCUUGUAUUGCCCUUGCAGCAGCCUUGGCUGGAGUCUGGGCCUCUUGUCUAAUGGAGUCCUCAGCUGCACACAGGUUGAUCGAUCACCCUGGGUGUGGCUCUGGCUUUGGUUUGCUGUCAGGUUACAUCUCAAGGCAAGACACUCACCUGCAGAGACGAAGAAGAUGCCGGCGCUGAGGAUAACACUGUGCCUACUGCGGUGGAACUCGCUGGCAGCCACACAGAGUCCCCCGAAAAACAGCAGAGUGACGCUGAGGAUGGGGAAGACACUGGAGGCCCUCACAGCCCCUGUGGAGAGAGGAGAGAAGUUUUCAUCGAUGCUCCAGCCAGCCUUGGGACCCACCUGCCGUGGUCAUGGAAUGUCUGUGAACCAAACAGUGCAGCACUGGAGAGAAGUCUGAAUCCCAUAGAGGUGUGAGACCAGUGCCAGUCACUCAGGGGCCUAUGAUCUGGAGGCCCAGUACCUGACAGCUGACCUCUUAGACUUUCAAGCAAUUCUACCAGUUGCAUGCAUUGCAGCACCUGGAGGAGCACAAAGAGCUGACUGACAGAUGAGGAAAGUGAACUAUCUUGUCCCAGGACCAACCUCAUGAGAAGGAGGAAGUCCAGCAGGGUCAAAGCUUGGCCUAUCACAUUCCAGUCCCAAACUGUACUGGUUCUAGUGGAAAGUUCCUACAGAGACAUUAUCCCUGUCCCAAUAGGAUUGAAACUGCAGAGAUGUCAAAGGAGAGGUGAACUUUGGUUUGUAUUUAUCUUGCCAGGCCUUGCCCUUGGGGACCCCACCCAUUAGCACAUCACCCAUUAGCACCUCACCCAUUAGCACUUUGCCAUUAGCACCUCACAUCACCCACUGGGAAAGGUGAAAACUGCACUGAGUUGAAGAAAAUUCCUUAGAUUUUCUUCUAAGGAGACUAAAAAGAACCUUUCAAUUCACCUUUUCUUUUCUAUUUCUAGCUCACUGAAAUGAAAGAAAGUUCAACAUCAGAGCCUUGGGAAUGCAUGUCUAUACUUUGAGGUGGAUAAUGAUGAGCCUCAAACUCAAUAGGUAAGAGGGUGAUGGCAACAGACCCUCUCCUUCCUCCACCGAAGACUGGAGAGGUAGGGGAACUUACGGAGAAGAUAUUCUGCUGUAUCCUGUUCAUAGUCUGCAUCUUCUGGGAAGUGAUCGAUUUUCUUGCACACGCCUCGGAAAGCUCCUGUGAAAACAGACACGGCCCUGAGCCAAAGGGAGAGUGUUACUGGGGCCCAGGCUGGGUCUGCAACUCCAUAUUGUGUAUACUUCCCUGUUCAUUGGCAACUGGGCAGAGAGGCCCAACAGCUGAUUUAUGUAAGGUACAAAAGAGACUAGUGCUGUAGUUUGGAUCUUGAGUGUCCUUUCGAGACCCAUGCAUUAAAAGAUAGACCUGGGGCUGGGACUAGAGUUCAGGGGUAGUUGUUUCCUAGCAUGUCUAAUUUCUAGCACAUAUGCAGACACACACAGACACACAGAAAGACUCACACAGACACACAGACACACAGAACCCUCUGCCAUUGGUAGGAGGGGUUAGAACUUUUGAGUCCAGGGGGAGGGAGUUAGGUCAUUGGGUGCGUGCCUUAGAAGGGGGUUUUAGGAGCCGGGCCCUUUUCUCUCUGUUUCCUAGUCACCAUGAAGAAAACAGCAUUGUUCUCCCAUGUCCAACAUGAACCACUCAUGUUCUAUCUCACCCAAAUUUCCAAACAUCUGAGCCAAGUAACCAUGCCCUGAUACCUCGGAAUCAAUGUCCACCAAUCCAUUUCUUUUCUUUAAGAGUUUAUUUAUACCAGGCAUUGGGGUAAACACCUGUGGUGGGGGAGGGUAGGAGCAGGGAUGCAGGUUCAAGACCUGUCUGGGACACAUGUCAAAUUCAAAGCCAACUUGGGAAACCGAGCAAGACCUCCUCUCAAAAGUAAGGUGAGGGGGCUGGAGAGAUGGCUCAGCGGUUAAGAGCACCCGACUACUCUUCCAGAGGUCCUGAGUUCAAGUCCCAGCAACCACAUGGUGGCUCACAACCAUCUGUAAAGAGAUCCGAUGCCCUCUUCUGGUGUAUCUGAAGACAGGUGAAUAAGGGAGAGUUUCACUUGCAGUUACUCAGGUAAACAAGGAGCCAACAUUCCACUCUGGGCAUCGGGAAGGGGUUAUUCUCUUGUCUCCAGCCUGCCAAUUCUGACCAUAGGCCCCUCUAGUCCUCUCUUCCCUCACAACCCACCCCUAUCCCCCGCCAGCGUGGGUCACUCAGAUCCACAGAG